AGACUUAAAGCUAUGAAGCCAUGGGGGUAGUUUCUCAAGGCUUUUGCAUCUUCUAAAUUCCAAAAUUUCAAUUUUACUAUCAGCAAUGCCCUUUUGCUUUGCAACAACUCUUCAUUUUCAAUGAUGCCCUCAAAAAGCACCCAACAUGGACCACGUGGACGAGAGAGAAAUGGAUGAACCCGAACAUCACGACCAAUAGUCAACAUUUCUAACUUUCUUAAGCCUUGCAUGAACUCUUCCGGUGGAAAUAAAAAUGAUUCUCCAUAAACCUUCAUGAGGUUUGCUGAGCUAAAGCCUCCACCCAAUUCCUGCUUUCUACAUCCUUCAAUUUGCAAGUGAGAGAUUAGCGGAAGGCGUUGAAAUGAAACCACUAACUGCAAACAUUGUUCAAUCACUAGAUUUUGCAAUGAAGGCAAAUGGCUG
rnacentral:misc_RNA from 1 species